rnacentral:rRNA from 1 species
AUUGAACGCUGGCGGCAUGCCUUACACAUGCAAGUCGAACGGCAGCACGGGAGCAAUCCUGGUGGCGAGUGGCGAACGGGUGAGUAAAGUAUCGGAACGUGCCCAGUCGUGGGGGAUAACGUAGCGAAAGUUACGCUAAUACCGCAUACGAUCUAUGGAUGAAAGCGGGGGAUCGCAAAACCUCGCGCGAUUGGAGCGGCCGAUAUCAGAUUAGGUAGUUGGUGGGGUAAAGGCUCACCAAGCCGACGAUCUGUAGCUGGUCUGAGAGGACGACCAGCCACACUGGGACUGAGACACGGCCCAGACUCCUACGGGAGGCAGCAGUGGGGAAUUUUGGACAAUGGGCGAAAGCCUGAUCCAGCCAUGCCGCGUGCAGGAUGAAGCCCUUCGGGUUGUAAACUGCUUUUGUACGGAACGAAAAGGUUUGGCCUAAUAAGCUGAGCUCAUGACGGUACCGUAAGAAUAAGCACCGGCUAACUACGUGCCAGCCGCCGCAGUAA